UAUACUGGUGAAACUGCGAAUGGCUCAUUAAAUCAGUUAUCGUUUAUUUGAUAGUACCUUACUACAUGGAUACCUGUGGUAAUUCUAGAGCUAAUACAUGCUGAAAACCUCGACUUCGGAAGGGGUGUAUUUAUUAGAUAAAAAACCAAUGCCCUUCGGGGCUCCUUGGUGAAUCAUAAUAACUUAACGAAUCGCAUGGCCUUGCGCCGGCGAUGGUUCAUUCAAAUUUCUGCCCUAUCAACUUUCGAUGGUAGGAUAGUGGCCUACCAUGGUGGCAACGGGUAACGGGGAAUUAGGGUUCGAUUCCGGAGAGGGAGCCUGAGAAACGGCUACCACAUCCAAGGAAGGCAGCAGGCGCGCAAAUUACCCAAUCCCGACACGGGGAGGUAGUGACAAUAAAUACUGAUACGGGGCUCUUUUGGGUCUCGUAAUUGGAAUGAGUACAAUCUAAAUCCCUUAACGAGGAACAAUUGGAGGGCAAGUCUGGUGCCAGCAGCCGCGGUAAUUCCAGCUCCAAUAGCGUAUAUUAAAGUUGUUGCAGUUAAAAAGCUCGUAGUUGAACCUUGGGUCUGGCUGGCCGGUCCGCCUCACCGCGAGUACUGGUCCGGCUGGACCUUUCCUUCUGGGGAAUCUCAUGGCCUUCACUGGCUGUGGGGGGAACCAGGACUUUUACUGUGAAAAAAUUAGAGUGUUCAAAGCAGGCCUUUGCUCGAAUACAUUAGCAUGGAAUAAUAGAAUAGGACGUGCGGUUCUAUUUUGUUGGUUUCUAGGACCGCCGUAAUGAUUAAUAGGGAUAGUCGGGGGCGUCAGUAUUCAGCUGUCAGAGGUGAAAUUCUUGGAUUUGCUGAAGACUAACUACUGCGAAAGCAUUCGCCAAGGAUGUUUUCAUUAAUCAGGGAACGAAAGUUAGGGGAUCGAAGACGAUCAGAUACCGUCGUAGUCUUAACCAUAAACUAUGCCGACUAGGGAUCGGACGGUGUUUCUAUUAUGACCCGUUCGGCACCUUACGAGAAAUCAA
rnacentral:rRNA from 1 species